rnacentral:Y_RNA from 1 species
GGCUGGUCUGAGAGCAAUGGUGCUUAACUGAUUACAACCAGUUACAGAUUUCUUUGUUCUUUCUGCACUCCCACUGUUUCACUUAACUAGUCUAAA